CUCUAAUAUUCUCCUCUCUUCUCAUUUCUACUUUCUUGACUAUGUUUGCUACUGCGCUUCUUCUCCUAACCUCCUCCAUUGUAAAAUAUUCUCGUAGUAACCUUAAUAUCCAUCGUAAUAUUUUCAUUUCAACUUCUAUAAUAUAUUCUCUCUCCUUAUUUCUACUUUCUUGACUUUGUUUUCUACUCCUGCUUGCUUCUCCUGACCUCCUCCUUUGUAAGAUAUUCUCGUAAUGAUCCAU